rnacentral:lncRNA from 1 species
GGGACAGGGCCCGGCUCUCGUAGGGGUCCGGGCGGAGUUUUCCUGCAAUCAAAGUCGAGGCGAAGUCCGGCUCCCAUAGGAGUUCAGACGAAACUUACCGGUGGUCAGAGUUGGUGAUAGAGCCUGGCCCCCGUAGGAGUUCGGGCGGAGUCCGCUUGCUGUCGGAGCUGGAGACGAGAGCCCGACUCCCAUGGGAGUCCGGGCGGAGUUUACCUGCGAUCAAAGUCAGGGC